GUGCCAGCAGCCGCGGUAACACCGGCCGCUCGAGUGGUAGCCGCGUUUAUUGGGCCUAAAGCGUCCGUAGCCGGUCCGAUAAGUCUCUGGUGAAAGCCCACAGCUCAACUGUGGGAAUCGCUGGAGGUCCUAUCGGACUUGAGGCCAGGAGAGGCUGGAGGUACUCCCAGGGUAGGGGUGAAAUCCUAUAAUCCUGGGAGGACCACCUGUAGCGAAGGCGUCCAGCUGGAACGGACCUGACGGUGAGGGACGAAAGCCAGGGGCGCGAACCGGAGGAGAUGCCCGGGUAGUCCUGGCCGUAAACGAUGCGGACUUGGUGUUGGGACGGCUUUGAGCUGUCCCAGUGCCGAAGGGAAGCUGUUAAGUCCGCCGCCUGGGAAGUACGGCCGCAAGGCUGAAACUUAAAGGAAUUGGCGG
rnacentral:rRNA from 1 species